rnacentral:rRNA from 1 species
CCUACGGGAGGCAGCAGUCGGGAAUAUUGCGCAAUGGAGGAAACUCUGACGCAGUGACGCCGCGUGCAGGAAGAAGGUUUUCGGAUUGUAAACUGCUUUAGACAGGGAAGAAAAAGGACAGUACCUGUAGAAUAAGCUCCGGCUAACUACGUGCCAGCAGCCGCGGUAAUACGUAGGUGGCAAGCGUUAUCCGGAUUUACUGGGUGUAAAGGGCGUGUAGGCGGGACUGCAAGUCAGAUGUGAAAAUUAUGGGCUCAACCCAUAACCUGCAUUUGAAACUGUAGUUCUUGAGUGAUG